CCGAUGGAAACUGGCGCACGGGUGAGUAACGCGUGGGAACAUACCCUUUAGUACGGAAUAACGUUUGGAAACGAACGCUAAUACCGCAUACGCCCCUUCGGGGGGAAAGAUUUUAUCGCUAAAGGAUUGGCCCGCGCUAGAUUAGCUAGUUGGUAAGGUAAUGGCUUACCAAGGCUACGAUCUAUAUCUGGUUUGAGAGGAUGAUCAGACACACUGGGACUGAGACACGGCCCAGACUCC
rnacentral:rRNA from 1 species